GUCCGUCUAGCUCAGUCAGUAGAGCAUAAAGCUCUUAAUCUUGUGGUUGUCGGUUCGAGUCCCAUGGUGGGCA